rnacentral:rRNA from 1 species
AGUUCAGAUUGCAGGCUGCAACCCGCCUGCAUGAAGUCGGAAUUGCUAGUAAUCGCGGAUCAGCAUGCCGCGGUGAAUACGUUCCCGGGAACCUUGUACACACCGCCCGUCACACCAUGGGAGCCGGUAAUACCCGAAGUCAGUAGUCCAACCUCGUGAGGACGCUGCCGAAGGUAGGAUUGGCGACUGGGGUGAAGUCGUAACAAGGUACC